GUAGCAAUACAUUAGUGGCGCACGGGAGAGUAACGCGUGGGAACCUACCUUUUGGUUUGGGAUAACGUCGGGAAACUGACGCUAAUACCAGAUAAGCCCUCCGGGGGAAAGAUUUAUCGCCGAUAGAUGGGCCCGCGUUAGAUUAGCUAGUUGGUGGGGUAAUGGCCUACCAAGGCGACGAUCUAUAACUGGUCUGAGAGGAUGACCAGUCUCACUGGGACUGAGACACGGCCCAGACUCCUACGGGAGGCAGCAGUGGGGAAUAUUGGACAAUGGGGGAAACCCUGAUCCAGCCAUGCCGCGUGAACGAUGAAGGCCUUCGGG
rnacentral:rRNA from 1 species